rnacentral:rRNA from 1 species
UACAGAGGUGGCAAGCGUUGUUCGGAAUUACUGGGCGUAAAGGGCGCGUAGGCGGUUCGGUAAGUCCUGUGUGAAAUCCCUCGGCUCAACUGAGGAACUGCACGGGAGACUGCCGGGCUUGAGUUCGGGAGAGGGAAGCGGAAUUCCGGGUGUAGCGGUGAAAUGCGUAGAUAUCUGGAGGAACACCGGUGGCGAAGGCGGCAUCCUGGACCGACACUGACACUGAGGAGCGAAAGCCAGGGGAGCAAACGGG